AUUGAACGCUGGCGGCAGGCUUAACACAUGCAAGUCGAGCGAGCGGCGGACGGGUGAGUAAUGUCUGGGAAACUGCCUGAUGGAGGGGGAUAACUACUGGAACCGGUAGCUAAUACCGCAUACCAUCAGAUGUGCCCAGAUGGGCUUAGCUGGUAGGUGGGGUAAUGGCUCACCUAGGCAACGAUCCCUAGCUGGUCUGAGAGGAUGACCAGCCACACUGGAACGUAGACACGGUCCAGACUCCUACGGGAGGCAGCAGUGGGGAAUAUUGAACAAUUGGCGCAAGCCUGAGGCAGCCAUGCCGCGUGUAUUAAGAAGGUCUUCGGGUUGUAAAGUACUUUCAGUGAGGAGGCGUUACUCACAGAAGAAGCACCGGCUAACUCCGUGCCAGCAGCCGCGGUAAUUC
rnacentral:rRNA from 1 species